UGGCGGCAGGCCUAACACAUGCAAGUCGAGCGGUAGAGAGAAGCUUGCUUCUCUUGAGAGCGGCGGACGGGUGAGUAAUACCUAGGAAUCUGCCUGAUAGUGGGGGAUAACGUUCGGAAACGGACGCUAAUACCGCAUACGUCCUACGGGAGAGAGCAGGGGACCUUCGGGCCUUGCGCUAUCAGAUGAGCCUAGGUCGGAUUAGCUAGUUGGUGAGGUAAUGGCUCACCAAGGCUACGAUCCGUAACUGGUCUGAGAGGAUGAUCAGUCACACUGGAACUGAGACACGGUCCAGACUCCUACGGGAGGCAGCAGUGGGGAAUAUUGGACAAUGGGCGAAAGCCUGAUGCAGCCAUGCCGCGUGUGUGAAGAAGGUCUUCGGAUUGUAAAGCACUUUAAGUUGGGAGGAAGGGCAGUUACCUAAUACGUGACUGUCUUGACGUUACCGACAGAAUAAGCACCGGCUAACUCUGUGCCAGCAGCCGCGGUAAUACAGAGGGUGCAAGCGUUAAUCGGAAUUACUGGGCGUAAAGCGCGCGUAGGUGGUUUGUUAAGUUGAAUGUGAAAUCCCCGGGCUCAACCUGGGAACUGCAUCCAAAACUGGCAAGCUAGAGUAUGGUAGAGGGUAGUGGAAUUUCCUGUGUAGCGGUGAAAUGCGUAGAUAUAGGAAGGAACACCAGUGGCGAAGGCGACUACCUGGACUGAUACUGACACUGAGGUGCGAAAGCGUGG
rnacentral:rRNA from 1 species